UACGUAGGGGGCAAGCGUUGUCCGGAAUCAUUGGGCGUAAAGAGCGCGUAGGCGGCCCUGUAAGUCCGCUGUGAAAGUCAAGGGCUCAACCCUUGAAUGCCGGUGGAUACUGCAGGGCUAGAGUCCGGAAGAGGCGAGUGGAAUUCCUGGUGUAGCGGUGAAAUGCGCAGAUAUCGGGAGGAACACCUAUGGCGAAGGCAGCUCGCUGGGACGUUACUGACGCUGAGACGCGAAAGCGUGGGGAGCAAACAGG
rnacentral:rRNA from 1 species